AUAUUGUUCAGCUAUCGGUUUUUCGGAAUUAUCUCCUGAAGUGUUAUUCAUAUAACUUCGCAUGAAGACUGACUCACAAUUGGGUACUGACAUGUCUUCACAUCGUGGAGUACCCAAAUAUCGAAAAAUUGUAUUUUAGAUAAACUUUAUCUUGAUUUACAUUUGAUUCUUCGAUUGAAUUUUAGGUUCCAGAAAACCUAAGCAAUUUUAAAUGGAAACUCCAGUAAAUUAAGACACUUUGCAGGGUUCUCUGUUAUUGUUCGAGGGCGAUCAACAGUUUUUAGGAAGAAUGAGUAUUUGGUCGUGAAGUGCGCGCUUUUCUAAUCCUUUUUAUCUUUCUCUUUCCUUACUGUGACUUGAAAGUCAUUGUAAGGUACGAAGACCUUAAGAGAGAAGGCAGUGUACGUAAGGGAAAGAAACACAAUGUGGAGCAUCGAUAUAUUCGUGGAAUAAGGGAGAGAAACCGACGACCAUAUCGAUCCAACCGUCGCCCGAUUGGCUUUUAUGUACGCGCCGGCAUGUUAUACGGGGUGUCUCUAGUAAACACCAGAAUUGGAAAUGAUAUAAUUUCACACUGAUAAAAAGGGGACAAUAGUAACAAUUUAUUCUUCAGUAAAUUCAAUAUGAUUCUUAGGUUUCUUCUUGCAAAAUGCAAUUUUGUUGCAUAUUUAUUAAUGAAAUACCAUUACACUUCUGGUCCACAACUUGCUGUCAGACUUAUUAUAUUGGAUUGUUACAAGUAUCAAAUGAUCACAUCGUUUAUUUGUUAGUAUUUUUAUGAAUAUAAAUGAAGAUUACAGUAGAAGAAACGUAUACACAUUAUGUUUUCUUUCGCGACCUUCACAUUUUAAGCUUCUUCUUCUUAUUUAUAUAGUCUGAUAUAAUUAAUGUUAUAAAUUAAAUGCUCUAAUUGUCUACGAUAUGAAGAUAACGAGAGAAUUGAAGGACUCACUAAUUUUCCACGAGAGAAAAAUUUAAUUUUGGAACGAAGUAAAACAGGGAAAAUGUCGCAGUAACGUUUCCGGGCAGGAAAAGGAGAGUGCAGGGAUCCUCGACGAAUUUAUGGUGAUCGUAUUAUAUAUAUUUGCAUGCGGCACUUCGGCGUUGUCAAGCCCUCUGAAAAUCCCUUCGCAUUUUUUCACUGCAGGAUUUCGUUUCCUGCGCGACCUAAUGGCACGUAUUCCCGAGACAAAGGGUAAAAAUGAAACGAGAACGGAUAAUAAAUGGCAGCUGGAGAGAGAAACGAACCGGCGACCCAGUUUCGUUAUAGUUUCAUUAACUAUUCUCAUUUACAAGUAAAUUCGUGAGAGAGGAAGAGAAAAAAGAGAGACGCUAGAGGGAGGGGAGGCGGCUGGAAAGAAGUGACUUCGAUUAUGAACGAUAUUAAACUAGCAUUUGCGGCCGUGUACUAAAGACUAAUAGGGUUACUGAUGAUCAUAAUGAAAUCUCGUAACUAACCGGUCAUAGUUCAGUGAAGCCUCUCAGGGCUUGUAAUUAAUUGCGAUUAGCAAUGAAACAGCGAAACGGCGCCGAUAAAUUAAUAGUGCUGCUGGUGCAAAAUUGGUGGCCAUGGGUUAAUUUCAAUCAUUGCGAUUUACCGACACGAUGCCUGAUACACUGACCUAGAAUAAUAAGAUCAAACAUGAUCAUUGAUACGAUUGAAAACCGGUAUGAACUUCUAUAAAUAAGGAUAAAGGACGAAGGAAAAUACAUGGAAAAAUAUGAGGAAGAAAAUCGGCUAGGAGAUUGAUAGGCAGAUGAAUUAUUUGGUUCAGGAGGAAAUCUGAAAUAUAAUUUGAAGGUGGGUCGAAGCUUCAUUUAAUUUUUGGACAGGGCGUACGUAAAAGCACAGAACUCUCUUCUUUUGAAGGGAAAUCGUUCCUCGUGCGUGCUGCAGCUGCGGCCGCUGACUCGUCUCGUCAUUAAUUUCGUGUUACUGCCUCGGCAUGCUUGUAUCGAGUGCACGUUCGAAUGGAUUAUCGAUUCUUUCAUCGUGCACAGCAAAUGGCAUCGAAACAUACAUACCUACAAGCACAGUAGCAAACAAAGUCUCAAAAUAUCCUGAAAAUGUACAUUUUUAAUGAAAUUUUCUUUCAACAAUUUCGUUAGUUGGUAAAUUGAUAUUACUUUCUAUCAUUACAAUUAUCUUCUAUACUGGUUACUCAUAUUCAUAAUUAAAAAUUGUAUUUUAGGUAGACCAUACUGUGUUUCAAUAAUAUUUAAUUCACGAAUUUAUGCAACAAUAUGCAAGCGAAGAAAAAUGAAAACAAUUAUUCAUCAAGGAAUAACAUAAUAUUUUUGUUAAUACUGGAAUUACCAUGUGAGUCAACGCUAUUUGUAAGUGCUUGACAGUAUCUGAGCGCCCGUCACUUCAAUUCAGAUCACACUACACGGACGGUUUUAAUACCAAUUUCAGUUAAUUCAGGCUCUUAAUGUGAAUCAGAGCGAUUGAAUUAAAUUGAACUUUUAAUAUUACGUCCCCUCCUCUUCCUCGAGUAGUGAGGUAAUAUUGUUGUCUUUUUUCUGUGCAAACAACUAACUUCAAAGGAAGAUUCUUUUAUAAAACGUAUGUACUUUGGUAUAAGUAAAAUUACCAUUUAAUUAUCAUUAUGAGAUAAAAAGCAACGAUGAGAUGUAAAUUCUACAUGGUUUCUCUCAUUGUACAAUAUUUCCAAGAAGCAAUCGGUUCUUUGUAUCGAUUAAAUCGCUUAAAUGGGGA